rnacentral:misc_RNA from 1 species
AACUGAUACUACCUGCGGGAACCUGCGGAGGGAUCAUUAUCGAGUUAGGGUCCCUAUGGCCCGACCUCCAACCCUUUGUCUACCUUACUCUGUUGCUUCGGUAGGCCCGUCUCCGGGCCGCCGGGCGGUGUCCGCCGCCUGGCCAGUGCCUGCCGAUAGCCUUCUACAAACUCUCGAGAAACAGUGUCUGUCUAAGCUGAAAAUAUAAUUAGCACAAAACUUUUAACAACGGAUCUCUAG